UUCGGAUUGGAGUCUGNAACCCGACUCCAUGAAGCUGGAUUCGCUAGUAAUCGCGCAUCAGCCACGGCGCGGUGAAUACGUUCCCGGGCCUUGUACACACCGCCCGUCAAGCCAUGGAAGCCGGGAGUGCCUGAAGUGCGUGAGCGCAAGCAGCGCCCUAAGGUAAAACCGGUGACUGGGGCUAAGUCGUAACAAGGUACC
rnacentral:rRNA from 1 species